rnacentral:rRNA from 1 species
GGGUUGUGAGGUUAAGCGACUAAGCGUACACGGUGGAUGCCCUGGCAGUCAGAGGCGAUGAAGGACGUGCUAAUCUGCGAUAAGCGUCGGUAAGGUGAUAUGAACCGUUAUAACCGGCGAUUUCCGAAUGGGGAAACCCAGUGUGUUUCGACACACUAUCAUUAACUGAAUCCAUAGGUUAAUGAGGCGAACCGGGGGAACUGAAACAUCUAAGUACCCCGAGGAAAAGAAAUCAACCGAGAUUCCCCCAGUAGCGGCGAGCGAACGGGGAGCAGCCCAGAGCCUGAAUCAGUAUGUGUGUUAGUGGAAGCGUCUGGAAAGGCGCGCGAUACAGGGUGACAGCCCCGUACACAAAAAUGCACAUGCUGUGAGCUCGAUGAGUAGGGCGGGACACGUGGUAUCCUGUCUGAAUAUGGGGGGACCAUCCUCCAAGGCUAAAUACUCCUGACUGACCGAUAGUGAACCAGUACCGUGAGGGAAAGGCGAAAAGAACCCCGGCGAGGGGAGUGAAAAAGAACCUGAAACCGUGUACGUACAAGCAGUGGGAGCACGCUUAGG